GACGAACGCUGGCGGCGUGCUUAACACAUGCAAGUCGAGCGGUAAGGCCCUUUCGGGGGGUACACGAGCGGCGAACGGGCGAGUAACACGUGGGUGACCUGCCCUCAGCUCUGGGAUAAGCCUGGGAAACCGGGUCUAAUACUGGAUAUGACUCCAUGACGCAUGUUGUGGGGUGGAAAGCCUUGUGCGGCUGAGGAUGGGCCCGCGGCCUAUCAGCUUGUUGGUGGGGUGANGGCCUACCAAGGCGACGACGGGUAGCCGGCCUGAGAGGCGACCGGCCACACUGGGACUGAGACACGGCCCAGACUCCUACGGGAGGCAGCAGUGGGGAAUCUUGCGCAAUGGGCGAAAGCCUGACGCAGCGACGCCGCGUGAGGGAUGACGGCCUCGG
rnacentral:rRNA from 1 species